UCCCUUGUGGCCCAGCUGGUAAAGAAUCCACCUGCAAUGUGGGAGACCUAGGUUCGAUCCCUGGCUUGGGAA
rnacentral:tRNA from 1 species